GGGUACAAUUGAGACAGGUGGUGCAUGGUUGUCGUCAGCUCGUGUCGUGAGAUGUUGGGUUAAGUCCCGCAACGAGCGCAACCCUUGUGUUUAGUUGCAAACAGGUCAAGCUGUGCACUCUAGACAGACUGCCGUGGACAACACGGAGGAAGGUGGGGAUGACGUCAAAUCAUCAUGCCCCUUAUGAUCUGGGCUACACACGUGCUACAAUGGCCGGUACAACGGGCAGCGAAGGAGCGAUCCGGAGCGAAUCCUAAAAAGCCGGUCCCAGUUCGGAUUGCAGGCUGAAACUCGCCUACAUGAAGUUGGAGUUGCUAGUAAUCGCGAAUCAGAAUGUCGCGGUGAAUGCGUUCCCGGGUCUU
rnacentral:rRNA from 1 species